rnacentral:misc_RNA from 1 species
UCCACUUUUGGUGCUUGGGACAUUUGCAAAUGUUGCUGAGUUUCGCAUAGCUACAAUUCUUGAGACAUAAAAAUGUCUUCAGUCCAGAAUUGAAGUAUACACAUAAUAUACUUCCAUAAGAUUAUCCAAGCCAAGAAAAGCACCUUCAAUUUUAUAACUUAUUACAGAUUACAACAUUUGCCAACUAGUAACACAAACUGCUGCAGGAGGCAUUAUUCAGUCUCUUACUUACUGUUUGAUAACUCUUUGUUUCACAAAAAGAGAAGAUGUAUAUGAGGCAGGAUAUAGAAUACUGCACCAAAAAUAUGAAAGC